rnacentral:rRNA from 1 species
UGCCUAAUACAUGCAAGUCGAGCGAAUGGAUUAAGAGCUUGCUCUUAUGAAGUUAGCGGCGGACGGGUGAGUAACACGUGGGUAACCUGCCCAUAAGACUGGGAUAACUCCGGGAAACCGGGGCUAAUACCGGAUAACAUUUUGAACCGCAUGGUUCGAAAUUGAAAGGCGGCUUCGGCUGUCACUUAUGGAUGGACCCGCGUCGCAUUAGCUAGUUGGUGAGGUAACGGCUCACCAAGGCAACGAUGCGUAGCCGACCUGAGAGGGUGAUCGGCCACACUGGGACUGAGACACGGCCCAGACUCCUACGGGAGGCAGCAGUAGGGAAUCUUCCGCAAUGGACGAAAGUCUGACGGAGCAACGCCGCGUGAGUGAUGAAGGCUUUCGGGUCGUAAAACUCUGUUGUUAGGGAAGAACAAGUGCUAGUUGAAUAAGCUGGCACCUUGACGGUACCUAACCAGAAAGCCACGGCUAACUACGUGCCAGCAGCCGCGGUAAUACGUAGGUGGCAAGCGUUAUCCGGAAUUAUUGGGCGUAAAGCGCGCGCAGGUGGUUUCUUAAGUCUGAUGUGAAAGCCCACGGCUCAACCGUGGAGGGUCAUUGGAAACUGGGAGACUUGAGUGCAGAAGAGGAAAGUGGAAUUCCAUGUGUAGCGGUGAAAUGCGUAGAGAUAUGGAGGAACACCAGUGGCGAAGGCGACUUUCUGGUCUGUAACU